rnacentral:rRNA from 1 species
UACGUAGGGUGCAAGCGUUAAUCGGAAUUACUGGGCGUAAAGCGUGCGCAGGCGGUUUUGUAAGACAGGCGUGAAAUCCUCGGGCUCAACCUGGGAAUUGCGCUUGUGACUGCAAAGCUGGAGUGCGGCAGAGGGGGAUGGAAUUCCGCGUGUAGCAGUGAAAUGCGUAGAUAUGCGGAGGAACACCGAUGGCGAAGGCAAUCCCCUGGGCCUGCACUGACGCUCAUGCACGAAAGCGUGGGGAGCAAACAGG